AGCAUAAUACUAAAUUGAGUUAACAACUACCGUGAAUAUAGUGGUGUGUAAUGAGUUUGACAUGAUAUAUCCAUAAAUACCGCUCUUCGGUUUUUGCAGGGUUAGAAAUAAGAUCAGGCAAAUAAAUACAGUGUUGUAUUUCAGUAUCUUGGCAUAGCUAUCAACAACCUAUUUUCGAUCCAAACCUGUUUUCGACUGGCACCGGAAAAUAUGUAAAACUCAUGGAUUGCACGUGACUUCCGCCUAGGCAGGUCAUAGGAGGAUCAUACAGAGUGGGGCCAGUGAUACCAGGGUUCAUGCUGGGUGCAUUUAUCCGCUUUAUCAUGUGAAAACCAGAAGUGAUGCAAAUGGUACACAUUAGAAAAUUAUGGUCCAUGUGAACACGUUCUGAAGACGUUUGACGCCAAAAUUUAGAGAUUCAAAAGUUAAGCAGUAUUUAAUUCGAAGAUCUACUACAACUCACGAGCCAUAUGCAGAACCAGAGAACAGAUGUUGUACCAGUGUAACACAUGCGGUGAUUAAGUCACAGAAACUCUGUACAUGACGCUCACAAGAAACUGAAAUAGACAUUUAACUUAAUGUAAAAGUAAAACAUGUAAUCAUGUUUUUUUCUCAAAAGUGUUCUCAAUAGAACAUGUUAAAUAUCGCACACCGGAUAUAUAUAUAUAUAUAUGUGAUACAUUCGAUGAUGCUUUCUCUCUGAUGGUAAUUUGGAUAUAGGAAAAAGAAACAGCUGUGAAGAAAUACAAUUGUAGAAUAUGUUAUCCUGAGUUU